UUUUUUUUAGUUUACAGUCAGCAGACAUGACAAUGGACAGCUUGCAUGGUUUGAAUUGUCAUGGAAAGGUUGCUGAAGGCUUCCAGGAGGAAGUGAAUUCUAAACUGAAACCUAAAGAAUGAAUACGGGUUGGGGAAACAGAAGCAUGGCGUCGGGAACUGCAGGAACUCUGUGUGGACAGAUUUGAUGCUGGGAAGGAAAUUGGAAGGGGUAAGUCAUUGGCGUUGUUAAAUUCUAGGAAUUUUUCCUAGUGUAACCAGUCUGUAAAUUACUUUAAUAAAGUAUGCACUUUCAGAAACUUUCUCUAAAAUGUAAAUAAACUGUUGCAUUUUA